AUGAACGCUGGCGGCGUGCCUAAUACAUGCAAGUCGAGCGAACAGACGAGGAGCUUGCUCCUCUGACGUUAGCGGCGGACGGGUGAGUAACACGUGGAUAACCUACCUAUAAGACUGGGAUAACUUCGGGAAACCGGAGCUAAUACCGGAUAAUAUAUUGAACCGCAUGGUUCAAUAGUGAAAGACGGUUUUGCUGUCACUUAUAGAUGGAUCCGCGCCGCAUUAGCUAGUUGGUAAGGUAACGGCUUACCAAGGCAACGAUGCGUAGCCGACCUGAGAGGGUGAUCGGCCACACUGGAACUGAGACACGGUCCAGACUCCUACGGGAGGCAGCAGUCGGGAAUCUUCCGCAAUGGGCGAAAGCCUGACGCAGCAACGCCGCGUGAGUGAUGAAGGUCUUCGGAUCGUAAAACUCUGUUAUUAGGGAAGAACAAAUGUGUAAGUAACUAUGCACGUCUUGACGGUACCUAAUCAGAAAGCCACGGCUAACUACGUG
rnacentral:rRNA from 1 species